CUGGGGGUAUCUCAUACCGGGCAUUUUGUGAAUAUUUGUGACCGUUGGAUCGGUAAUAUAUCCAAGGGUCAUGGAUAUUCGAAACAAGCUGACCUAUUCAGAAGGUAUCCCGUUUCGCCGUCACUCUCAGUUCGUCACCGUGCCUCCAGCGUCGGGCCUCCCUGCGCGGUGCUCCUCCGCUUCGCUGUGCUACCACGACUCUCUCUCUCUCUCUGCGCUACUCUGCCUCAGUCUCCCUCUGUUCCACCGCGCCCCUCCACUCCACUGCUCCUCCAGUCCUCUUCAACCUCUCUCCUUGACCGUCGAGGCGUCGACAGCCCUUUCUAUACCUGACGGUGACGGACUAACGGUGUUGAAUAGCCUUGAAGUCUCCAACUUGGUUGCUUUUUUCCUCAAUCAGCAAAGCAGAAAGCCAGAAACUGUUGUUUACACUCUGGGUUCGAUUUCUGGGUUUUCACUUACAUUCUGGGUUUCACUCUUCAAGCUUGGUUAGUUGGUGAAAUCAAGCUUGUUUUGGAUGGUAACUGAACUGCAAACAGUUUGGUAAUUUGGUUGGGAAUUCAAAUUGGAUGGGAAUUGCAAUCAGAGUGUUCGAAUGAUAAUCUGAAUCCUGAAACAAGUCCUGUACAUGGGGAAGCUCCAGUGUUGCUUCAAUCUAGAGAAAAUGAAGAUAUGAUCGUAAAAGUUAUUUGGGAGUAGUGCUACUAAUUUUGUUGGAUUUGGAGCUGUGCAGGUCAACUUGGUGCGUGAUGCUAGUGUUCAAAAGGAAAUUUCUAACUCUGUUGGGAAACAAGCUCUUGUUCUUUCUAUUGUGGAGUGCAAGGGGCUCGAGUUCCAGGUGGUUACAAUGUCUAUCAUUUAGUUUGUUUACACUUAUCAUGCAAAAGCCGUUGAUGAUAUAUGGAUUCGUUGUUGUCCUAGGAUGUACUUUUGUUAAGUAUUUUGGGUCAUCACCCUUAAUAAAUGAAUGGAGGCUGAUAUAUAAUUACAUGAACAUGAUUUGCUAAUAAGACUUGGUGUGAGAUGCAGCAAGUGAAGUCAGAGAGAGGAAAUCAUUUUCUGAAUUUGGAGAAUUCUGUUUCAGUCCCAAGGAAGAUAACCUAGUAUGUAAUUGAUCGAAAAAAUUGAAUUGCCAAGGACCGGUUACGAGCAUAUUUAUUUUAUGUUCUAUUUAGGAUAUCGAGUUGACCAAUAAAUCGAGACCCAACCGAAGGCAGAAAUUGCUGAAAUUUCUACCACUACCAUAUAUUCGUAUGCGG